rnacentral:rRNA from 1 species
UACGAAGGGAGCUAGCGUUGUUCGGAAUCACUGGGCGUAAAGCGCACGUAGGCGGAUGUGUCAGUCAGGGGUGAAAUCCCGGGGCUCAACCUCGGGACUGCCUUUGAUACAGCACGUCUUGAGUCCGAUAGAGGUGGGUGGAAUUCCUAGUGUAGAGGUGAAAUUCGUAGAUAUUAGGAAGAACACCGGUGGCGAAGGCGGCCCACUGGAUCGGUACUGACGCUGAGGUGCGAAAGCGUGGGGAGCAAACAGG